AGUUUUAAAUUUGUUUUCCCCUCAUUCCAAAAUCUCUGAAUCCUAAUAAUUGCAAAAAAGCCUCUUCUUCUCAAGUGGUAUAAUAAGGAGAAGAGUUGAGCUCUCUCAAGCGAUUGGAGUAAGCCAAGAGGGUCUUCUUUGAGUUAAUGAUACACAAGCUCAAUUGCAAUGUAAUUCAAAAAAUACUAAUACCUUCAUUGUGCCAGGUUCUGUGCUAAGUAAUGAGGAGUCAACAAUGAGUAAGAUAUGAACUCUGACCUUACUCAGGGGUGAGACAAACAGACCAAUAAAAUCCACUACAAUAAUGGGUAUGUUGGGGUAAGAGAAAAUCACUUAAGCCUAACAGAAGACUUACCAAAAAAUGUGAUAUUCUGGAACAGGAUUUCUUAACCUCAGCUUUACUGACAUUUUGGACUGGAUAAUUCUUGGUCGUUGGUGGCCGUUCUGUGCACUGUAGGAUAUUUAGCAGCAUACCAAAGCAGUAGUGAGAGAUGACAGCG
rnacentral:lncRNA from 10 species